rnacentral:rRNA from 1 species
ACGGCUCAGUAACACGUAGGCAACCUACCCUGAAGAUGAGGAUAACCUCGGGAAACUGAGGAUAAUACUCAAUAAAGUAAAAGUACUGGAAGGUUUUUUACUAGAAAUGCUUCGGCGCUUUAGGAUGGGCCUGCGGUGGAUUAGGUCGUUGGUGAGGUAAAGGCUCACCAAGCCGAUAAUCCAUACGGGAUGUGAGAGCAUUAGCCUGGAGUAGGGGACUGAGACACGGCCCCUAGUUCUACGGGAUGCAGCAGGCGCGAAACCUUUACAAUGCACGCAAGUGCGAUAAGGAGACUCCAAGUGACCACGUUGUGGUCUUUUCUGAAGUUUAAGUUGCUUCAAGAAUAAGGGCUGGGCAAGACCCGUGCCAGCCGCCGCGGUAACACGGGCAGCUCGAGUGGUGUCCAAUAAUAUUGGGUCUAAAGCGUUCGUAGCCGGCUCGAUAAGUUUUUAGUGAAACCUCAUGGCUUAACCGUGAGAAUUGCUAAAAAUACUGUCAAGCUAGGGACCGGGAGAGGCCAGAGGUAUUCCUAGGGUAGGAGUGAAAUCCAAUAAUCCUAGGAGGACCAUCGGUGGCGAAAGCUUCUGGCUAGAACGGAUCCGACGGUGAGGAACGAAGGCUGAGGGAGCAACCCGGAUUAGAUACCCGGUUAGUCUCAGCUGUAAAUGAUGUUGGUUAGGUGGUGCGUGACCCACGUGGUUACGCACGGCCGCAGGGAAGCCGUUGAACCAACCACCUGGGAAGUACGGUCGCAAGGCUGAAACUUAAAGGAAUUGGCGGGGGAGCAC